GGGAAAUCUAAACGAUAUCAUAAAAAAAGGACGGCGACUGUUUAUUAAAAACACAGGACUUUGCUAAAUAGCCAUUAAUAUGACGUAUAAGGUCUGAAGUCUGUCCAAUGAUAAUAAUUAAAAGAAUUGUUUAGCAUUUUUUAUAGGUUAUAUUCAAAUGACGGCUGUACCUAUAACGGUCUUAAAGUAGCGAAAUUCAUCGCCUGGUAAUUACAGACGUGCAUGAAUGACAUAACGAUCCGUCCUACUGUCUCUAAUAAUAUAUCUAUGAAAUUGAAAUAUUAGUGAAGAUGCUUAUUUUUUUUAGCUAGACGGAAAGACCCUGGCAUUUUCACUGUAAAAUUAUAAUGUUUUGCUUAAUAUUGUACAUAGUAAAGAUGGUAAUUCAAAAAAUUAAUUAUAUAUUAAUAAAAAAUUGAAAUAAAAGUGUAAGACCAUUUGCAUUAUCUUAAUGAAACUAAUUUAUUAUAACCUUAUAAUUAAGGUAGUUUAACUGGGG
rnacentral:rRNA from 1 species